ACCCAGGUUAACCUCUCUUGCAGAACUAGUUUAGCCUGUCCCUUUUACUGGUGAAAUCACUGUUAAUGUUUCUGUAGUAAAGGUAGUGUUUUAAAUGAUUUAUAUAAUACAAUAAAAUUUGUAAUCUCAUUCAAGCUCCUUUCUUCAUCUUUAAAAUGAAGUUAAACUCGGGAAAAAAGGAUUGUUCUAGCUCUGAAUUGCUGCACUACUGUGACUUAAGUGCUCCUCUGCUCUCCUAGCAGCACUUUUAUCUUACGAAUUUAUAUUUAUAUAUAUAUGAUUAGAACAUUAUAAAGUAGAAAAAAUUAUGGUUGUUAUUUUUAUUAGUAGUAGUAUUUUGUCUGUAUUUUGUGAUUUCUGAAGCUGUGGCUACCUGGUUCUUUCUGUUUCAAUUAUGACUUUAAUUGUGAGGCAACACUGUAAAGCACUCAAAUAUCAGUGGUCAGGAAUGUGCUGCAAGCAGAUCCUCUCUCUCUUAUUAAUUCCAGAACACCAAAUGUCUUAGUCCAUUUUGCCUUACCAUAAAGGAAUACCUAAGGCUGGUAAUUUAUAAAUAAAAGAGGUAUAUUUGGCUUAUGCUUCCACAGCCUGUACAAGAAACAUGGUGCCAGCAUCUGCUUCUGGUGAGGACUGCAGGAAGCUUCCAAUCAUGGUCCAAAAAAUGCGGAGCCUGCGUGUCACGUGAUAAGAGAUGGAGCGUGAGAAAGAGGCAGGAGGAGAAAGUGACCCCCACCUUUACAAGUGUCUGUAAUUCUCACUAGCAGUAUAUUAGAGGGCAAAAGAUUUGAACAGACACAUCAGAAAAGAAGACAUACAAAUGGCCGCUAAGCACUUGAAAGGAUUCUGAACACCAUUAGUCAUCAGUGAAAUGCAAAUUAAAGCCAUAAUGAAUGGCGCUAUACAUUUUCAGAAUGGCAAGGAUUGAAGACCGAAAAAAAUCAAGCGUUGAGGAGAGUGACAAAUGGGGAGACAGCCGUGGUGCAUGAUCGCCGAAUAAAUACCAUGUGAGGAUACAGCAAGAAGGUGGCCAUCUACAAGCCAAGGAGACAGGCCUCAGAAGAAACCAACCCUUCUUACACCCUGGACUCAGACUUCUAAUCUCCAGAACUGUAAGAAAAUAAAUUUCUGUUGCUUA
rnacentral:lncRNA from 1 species